CCUACGGGAGGCAGCAGUGGGGAAUAUUGCGCAAUGGGCGAAAGCCUGACGCAGCAACGCCGCGUGAGUGAAGAAGGCCUUCGGGUUGUAAAGCUCUUUCGGCCGGGAAGAAGGGUGUGCGGGUUAAUACCCUGUACAUUUGAUGGUACCGGAAGAAGAAGCACCGGCAAACUUCGUGCCAGCAGCCGCGGUAAUACGAAGGGUGCGAGCGUUGUUCGGAAUUACUGGGCGUAAAGGGUUCGUAGGCGGGACUUCAAGUCGAAUGUGAAAACCCCGGGCUUAACCUGGGACGUGCAUUCGAAACUGAGGUUCUUGAGUUUUGGAGAGGGUGGUGGAAUUGCUGGUGUAGGAGUGACAUCCGUAGAGAUCAGCAGGAACGCCGGAGGCGAAAGCGACCACCUGGCCAAGGACUGACGCUGAGGAACGAAAGCGUGGGGAGCAAACAGGAUUAGAUACCCUGGUAGUCCACGCCGUAAACGAUGAUGACUAGAUGUUGGAAGCGUUUGACCUUUCAGUAUCAAAGUACACACGCUAAGUCAUCCGCCUGGGGAGUACGGCCGCAAGGCUAAAACUCAAAGGAAUUGACGG
rnacentral:rRNA from 1 species